rnacentral:lncRNA from 1 species
CCUGCUGUCUUUUUGCCCUGUCUUUCCUGAGUCACCGAGUCUUGGGAAGGAAGCAUCUCUGCUCUGAGGAUUACAGCAAAUCAGUUGCUUGCCGUCCUUACUGGAAUACCUUCCCUUUCAGUUGCUCAGAACAUAGCAAUUACUGAAGAAGGCAGAAGGAUAUUUUUUCCCUUUCACCGAGCUUUUGCAGCGCAGCAGUGGCUGUGUCCGGCUAUGUAGAUGGUUUCCACAUUCUCUACCCAAUUUCUUUUCCUGAUGUUUAGGAACUGAAUCAUUCUGUUUCCCUACUAGCCUCUGCUAAAGGUGAAGCAAAACAAAAAGUCUCCCUUCUGCAUCCUGGUAAAACUUUGUGUCCUCCAUGGAGGCGGAGGAGCUUGGCUGUGGGUCCAUGCUUGCUGCCUGCAGGCUGGCACCUAGGACAGCGGCUGGCACAUGGGGACAGCCACUAGCGCCCAAAGCUAGCACAGCACCACGGGGCAAAGCCCAGCCUCUGGGUGCAGGAACGUGCAACUUUCCUAUGAGCCCAACCGUGUUUCCCACCAUUAAUUGGUCCCCCAA